UACGUAGGGAGCAAGCGUUGUUCGGAUUUACUGGGCGUAAAGGGCGCGUAGGCGGCGCGGUAAGUCACUUGUGAAAUCUCUGAGCUUAACUCAGAACGGCCAAGUGAUACUGCAGUGCUAGAGUGCAGAAAGGGCAAUCGGAAUUCUUGGUGUAGCGGUGAAAUGCGUAGAUAUCAAGAGGAACACCUGAGGCGAAGGCGGGUUGCUAGGCUGACACUGACGCUGAGGCGCGAAAGCGUGGGGAGCAAACAGG
rnacentral:rRNA from 1 species